CCCCUUCCUUUGCCCAGCC
rnacentral:miRNA from 1 species